GGGGUGAGAUUUGAUCCUGGCUCAGGACGAACGCUGGCGGCGUGCUUAACACAUGCAAGUCGAACGAUGAUCCGGUGCUUGCACCGGUGAUUAGUGGCGAACGGGUGAGUAACACGUGAGUAACCUGCCCUUGACUCUGGGAUAAGCCUGGGAAACCGGGUCUAAUACCGGAUACGACCUGUCACCGCAUGGUGGCGGGUGGAAAGAUUUAUUGGUUUUGGAUGGACUCGCGGCCUAUCAGCUUGUUGGUGAGGUAAUGGCUCACCAAGGCGACGACGGGUAGCCGGCCUGAGAGGGUGACCGGCCACACUGGGACUGAGACACGGCCCAGACUCCUACGGGAGGCAGCAGUGGGGAAUAUUGCACAAUGGGCGCAAGCCUGAUGCAGCGACGCCGCGUGAGGGAUGACGGCCUUCGGGUUGUAAACCUCUUUCAGCAGGGAAGAAGCGAAAGUGACGGUACCUGCAGAAGAAGCGCCGGCUAACUAC
rnacentral:rRNA from 1 species